rnacentral:rRNA from 1 species
GGGAAUCUUCCGCAAUGGGCGAAAGCCUGAUGGAGCAACGCCGCGUGAGUGAAGAAGGCCUUCGGGUUGUAAAGCUCUGUCCUUGGGGAAGAACCGUAGUGAUAGCAAAUGCUCACUACCUGACGGUACCCAUGGAGGAAGCACUGGCUAACUACGUGCCAGCAGCCGCGGUAAUACGUAGAGUGCAAGCGUUGUCCGGAAUCAUUGGGCGUAAAGGGUACGCAGGCGGAUAUGCAAGUCAAAUGUGAAAACUACCGGCUUAACUGGUAGACUGCGUUUGAAACUGUAUAUCUUGAGUGCAGCAGAGGAGAGCGGAAUUUCUAGUGUAGUGGUGGAAUACGUAGAUAUUAGAAAGAACACCAGUGGCGAAGGCGGCUCUCUGGGCUGACACUGACGCUCAGGUACGAAAGCUGGAGGAGCGAAUGGGAUUAGAUACCCCAGUAGUC